GCGGGCGUAGCUCAGUGGUAGAGUCCCAGCCUUCCAAGCUGGCUGUCACGGGUUCAAAUCCCGUCGCCCGCUCCA
rnacentral:tRNA from 1 species